CUUUUAGCUAAUAAGAAAAAACCUGGACUCCUUGGCGGUAUUGCUGGAGGACGUAAGUUUUGUUUCUUCUUUUGAAAAAUUAUACAAAGUUUUACAUUCUUGCAUUAUCAAUUUUGUAAUUUCUAUUUAGAAAAUUAUUAGAAUAGCAGUU